CCACACCAAAAAAAUGUCCACGUGAACGUAUUCUUUAUGAGGCUUGUGCAUGCUGUUUCGGCAGUGAUGCUAGCAGAAGGUUUCUUCGGAGACCGAUGUCUAUUUCAUCCCAUAUUAUAAAAAUGACUGAAAACCUAGCCAUCAGAAAUGAUAGCUUGUAAUCAAUUUAC
rnacentral:misc_RNA from 1 species